rnacentral:misc_RNA from 1 species
UUCGGCGGUGGCGUCGGGUUGUCGGUCAAUACCCGGGCAGCGUUGGGACGACGCAUGAGUGGCAAUCAGGAUAGGUUUCCUUUGCAGGCUCCGUGCUUCUCGCAUCGAACUGCUUUGGUCUGUCCGUCUCAUUUGAUCGCUCGCCUCGAUGCCCCGAGGGUCGGUCGCGAGUGAAGGGUGGGUUCCUGUUCUUGAUACCGGAUUUCGGUACUCGGAUUCAAUGUUGUCCACGUCUUGGUUCCCUUGUUCCUCCUCCGCCUCCCGUGCGUUGGUGGUUAUCGUGCGGGCAUCGACGCUUUCCGUCCGGGCGGUCGUCCUCCUCUGGGGCGUUUCCGCCCGUGUCGGCGCGUCGAUGCCGUCCGCUUGCUCUUGGGUACGGAGAUAUCUCUUCUUAUCGCGCGGUCCUCUGUUGGCCGUUGCGAUCUCGGCUUGUCUAAGCUUCUUUGCUUCCGCUCGGUUGACCCUCGUGCUUUCCUUGGAGCUCA